UACGGGAGGCAGCAGUGGGGAAUAUUGCACAAUGGGCGCAAGCCUGAUGCAGCCAUGCCGCGUGUAUGAAGAAGGCCUUCGGGUUGUAAAGUACUUUCAGUCGUGAGGAAGGUGUUAAGGUUAAUAACCUUAGCAAUUGACGUUAGCGACAGAAGAAGCACCGGCUAACUCCGUGCCAGCAGCCGCGGUAAUACGGAGGGUGCGAGCGUUAAUCGGAAUUACUGGGCGUAAAGGGCACGCAGGCGGUUAAUUAAGUUGGAUGUGAAAUCCCCGGGCUUAACCUGGGAAUGGCAUUCAAGACUGGUUAGCUAGAGUCUUGUAGAGGGGGUAGAAUUCCAUGUGUAGCGGUGAAAUGCGUAGAGAUGUGGAGGAAUACCGGUGGCGAAAGGCGGCCCCUGGACAAAGACUGACGCUCAUGUGCGAAAGCGUGGGGAGCAAACAGGGAUUAGAUACC
rnacentral:rRNA from 1 species